GAUGAACGCUAGCGGCAGGCUUAACACAUGCAAGUCGAGGGGCAGCACGUCUUCGGAUGGUGGCGACCGGCAAACGGGUGCGGAACACGUACGCAACCUUCCCAGAACUGGUGAAUAGCCCUCGGAAACGAGGAUUAAUACACCGUAAGCUAAUUGAGUGGCAUCAUUUGAUUAGAAUAGCUCCGGCGGUUUUGGAUGGGCGUGCGUCUGAUUAGGUAGUUGGUGGGGUAACGGCUCACCAAGCCAACGAUCAGUAACUGGUGUGAGAGCACGACCAGUCACACGGGCACUGAGACACGGGCCCGACUCCUACGGGAGGCAGCAGUGAGGAAUAUUGGUCAAUGGACGCAAGUCUGAACCAGCCAUGCCGCGUGAAGGAUGAAGGCGUUAUGCGUUGUAAACUUCUUUUAUCAGGGAAGAAACCUCAGAUUUCUAUUUGAGCCGACGGUACCUGAGGAAUAAGCACCGGCCAACUCCGUGCCAGCCGCCGCAGUAACAC
rnacentral:rRNA from 1 species